GGAAAAUCAGGGAAUUCGAUGCACCUGUGCCUAGUUAGGGACAGCGGUUGGUGAUUGGAGGAUACGCUGGACAAGGCAGUACUUAAGGCCAAGUUAUUUCCCAGUCUGCGAGCUCUUUCUGGCUGGAAUUGUAUGAUUGUGAAGACAUCGCGAACCUUAAAGGUUGAGAAGUGAACGGAUUAUACGGCGAAUUGAGACGACGUGAAAAAGGGGAUUGGAAGCGGCAUUGAUGUGAGUACUAAGAGCAAGCCGAAAGUGCCCUGUAUAUUGACCUGGCGUUGUGUAGAUCUCUCCAGGAGGAGGAGGGCGGCCCUACCCCUAAUAUAGCGUGGUGGGAGAGCCGAAGGAAUACUUAUUGAAGUAGUCACAACGACGACAUCACUAGCUAGGCCGCAUAUUCCAUCGCCAGAUCCGAACCAAGCGAAGUGAAGGAAGACGGGUGUCCUUUUCGUACACUGAGUGUGGUGGGUGAGUCUUCGUGCUGUGAAAACCUAUAAUUUUGACGUGGUGCUGUAUAUUGCUGUGGGUUGCUGUGUAUUGCCGUGUGUCCUGUCAGAUAAACCCCCGCCUUCACGCACUCCGUCGCGGGAGGACAAGGAGACUUCUGGUUCUAGCCUAGUUCAGUACAGUAUAUGUUGUGAGCGUGCUUCAGAUCUCCGGAGAUAGCACGGUACGCUGUGUUCAGCCCAGAGGUGGGAGCUAUUCAAAGCAAACUAACUGUGCUUUGUGUCCAAUCUGAUACCUGUGGAGAGAAAAGGAAAGAGAGAGUGAGUAACACAAGGAGAAACCGAGGAAACCUGUACUUACAGUACGCUGUGUUCAGCCCAGAGGUGAGAGUCAUUCAAAGCAAACUAACUGUGCUAUUGUGCCCAAGUUGAUACCUGUGGAGAGAAAAGGAGAGAGAGUGAAUAACACGAGGAGGAAUAGAGCGAACCCUGUACUUACAGUACGUUGUGUCCAGCCCAGAGGUGAAAGCCAUCCAAAGCAGAGUAACUGUGUUUUGUGUCCAAGUUGAUACCUGUAGAGAGGAGGAGAGAGAGUGAAUAACGCGAGGAGAAAUAGAGCGAAACCUGUACUUACAGUACGCUGUGUCCAGCCCAGAGGUGAGAGCCAUUCAAAGCAAACUAACUGUGCUAUUGUGCCCAAGUUGAUACCUGUGGAGAGAAAAGGAGAGAGAGUGGGUAACACGAGGAGAGACCGAGGAAACCUGUACUUACGCCGCUGCCUGUGGAGAAAGAGAAAGCGAGUGAGCACCCAAGGAACGAACUGUGUGAACCAGUACUUACUGUGAGCUGCAAUCAGCGAAGAGGUGAGAGCAAAACCAAGCCGAAUUAACUGUGCCUUUGCGUCCCAGCCGUUGCCUGUGGAGGAAGAGAAAGAGAGUGAGCACCCAAGGAACGAACUGUGUGAACCAGUACUUACUGUGAGCUGCAAUCAGCGAAGAGGUGAGAGCAAAACCAAGCCGAAUUAACUGUGCCUUUGCGUCCCAGCCGUUGCCUGUGGAGGAAGAGAAAGAGAGUGAGCACCCCGAGAACGAACCGUCUGAACCAGUACUUACCGUGAGUUGUAUUCAGCGAAGAGGAGGAAGAAGGAGGGCGCUACGGAUACCUAAGACUCUGGCCGGGCCCCGAGUCCCACGCCCCGGAUCCCCGUGGCCCCCUUGCUCCCUGACCUCUUCCCGGCCAUAGCCCAUCUGGAGGGCCGAGUCAGAGUUUAGUUUUAAUUGCCCUUUCCCUAUUCCCCAAGCUAUUUUUAAAUAUUUAAAUAAAGAUUGUUUUAUCACUUA